rnacentral:rRNA from 1 species
UACGUAGGGGGCAAGCGUUGUUCGGAAUUACUGGGCGUAAAGGGCGCGUAGGCGGCACGACAAGUCGGGAGUGAAAGCCCGGGGCUCAACCCCGGAGGGUCUCUCGAAACUGUCGAGCUAGAGUGCGGAAGAGGCAAUCGGAAUUCCCAGUGUAGCGGUGAAAUGCGUAGAGAUCGGGAGGAACAUCUGUGGCGAAGGCGACUGCCUGGACCAGCACUGACACUGAUGAGCGAAAGCCAGGGGAGCAAACGGG